rnacentral:rRNA from 1 species
UACGGAGGAUCCGAGCGUUAUCCGGAUUUAUUGGGUUUAAAGGGUGCGUAGGCGGCCUGUUAAGUCAGGGGUGAAAGACGGUAGCUCAACUAUCGCAGUGCCCUUGAUACUGAUGGGCUUGAAUGUACUAGAGGUAGGCGGAAUGUGACAAGUAGCGGUGAAAUGCAUAGAUAUGUCACAGAACACCAAUUGCGAAGGCAGCUUACUACGGUAUGAUUGACGCUGAGGCACGAAAGCGUGGGGAUCAAACAGG